AGCUCCAAUAGCGUAUAUUAAAGUUGCUGCAGUUAAAAAGCUCGUAGUUGCAUUUCCGAGGCAAGGGAUUAGUCCGACCUUUGGUGGGUAUUUAAUCCUCUUGCCUCGUCCUUGAGUGGUGCUUCUUGGUAUUAAGUUAUCGAGGCGAUAGCCGCUCAUCGUUUACUGUGAGAAAAUUAGAGUGUUCAAAGCAGGCUUAUGCCGUUGAAUAUAUUAGCAUGGAAUAAUAAGAUAGGACCUCGGUACUAUUUUGUUGGUUUGAGAACCAAGGUAAUGAUGAAUAGGGACAGUUGGGGGUAUUCGUAUUCAGUUGUCAGAGGUGAAAUUCUUAGAUUGACGGAAGACGAACUACUGCGAAAGCAUUUACCAAGGAUGUUUUCA
rnacentral:rRNA from 1 species